rnacentral:rRNA from 1 species
AGUGAACGCUGGCGGUAGGCCUAACACAUGCAAGUCGAACGGCAGCACAGGAGAGCUUGCUCUCUGGGUGGCGAGUGGCGGACGGGUGAGGAAUACAUCGGAAUCUACUCUGUCGUGGGGGAUAACGUAGGGAAACUUACGCUAAUACCGCAUACGACCUACGGGUGAAAGCAGGGGAUCUUCGGACCUUGCGCGAUUGAAUGAGCCGAUGUCGGAUUAGCUAGUUGGCGGGGUAAAGGCCCACCAAGGCGAUGAUCCGUAGCUGGUCUGAGAGGAUGAUCAGCCACACUGGAACUGAGACACGGUCCAGACUCCUACGGGAGGCAGCAGUGGGGAAUAUUGGACAAUGGGCGCAAGCCUGAUCCAGCCAUACCGCGUGGGUGAAGAAGGCCUUCGGGUUGUAAAGCCCUUUUGUUGGGAAAGAAAUCCAGCUGCUAAUACCCGGUUGGGAUGACGGUACCCAAAGAAUAAGCACCGGCUAACUUCGUGCCAGCCGCCGCCGUAA